rnacentral:rRNA from 1 species
UACGGAGGGUGCAAGCGUUAUCCGGAUUUAUUGGGUUUAAAGGGUCCUUAGGCGGAUCUGUAAGUCAGUGGUGAAAUCUCACAGCUUAACUGUGAAACUGCCAUUGAUACUGCAGGUCUUGAGUGUUAUUGAAGUAGCUGGAAUAAGUAGUGUAGCGGUGAAAUGCAUAGAUAUUACUUAGAACACCAAUUGCGAAGGCAGGUUACUAAGCAACAACUGACGCUGAUGGACGAAAGCGUGGGGAGCGAACAGG